rnacentral:rRNA from 1 species
UAGUAACUGCGAGUGAAGAGGGAAGAGCUCAAAUUUGAAAUCUGGCAGUGUUUUGCUGUCCGAGUUGUAAUCUAGAGAAGUGCUGCCCGUGCUGGACCAUGUACAAGUCUCCUGGAAUGGAGCGUCACAGAGGGUGAGAAUCCCGUCUUUGACAUGGACUGCCAGUGCAUUUGUGGUGUGCUCUCAAAGAGUCGAGUUGUUUGGGAAUGCAGCUCUAAAUGGGUGGUAAACUCCAUCUAAAGCUAAAUAUUGGCGAGAGACCGAUAGCGAACAAGUACCGUGAGGGAAAGAUGAAAAGAACUUUGGAAAGAGAGUUAAACAGUAUGUGAAAUUGUUGAAAGGGAAACGCUUAAAGUCAGUCGUGUCGGCCAGGGAUCAACUCAGUAUUAUCUGCUGGGUGUACUUCCUGAUCUGAUGGGCCAACAUCAGUUUUGACUGCUGGAGAAGGAUAGAGGGAAUGUGGCACCUUUGGGUGUGUUAUAGCUCUCUGUCGGAUGCAGUGGUUGGGACUGAGGAAUGCAGCAUGCCGCAAGGCCGGGUCGUUUCGACCACGUUCAUGCUGAGGAUGUUGGCAUAAUGGCUUUAAUCGACCCGUCUUGAAACACGGACCAAGGAGUCUAACAUGCCUGCGAGUGUUUGGGUGGCAAACCCGAGUGCGGAAUGAAAGUGAAAGGUUGAGAUCCCUGUCAUGGGGAGCAUCGAUGCCCGGACCUGAGCACAAUGCAAAGGAUCUGCGGUAGAGCAUGUAUGUUAGGACCCGAAAGA